rnacentral:rRNA from 1 species
CCUACGGGUGGCAGCAGUGAGGAAUAUUGGUCAAUGGGCUUACGCCUGAACCAGCCAAGUCGCGUGAGGGAAGACUGCCCUAUGGGUUGUAAACCUCUUUUGUCAGGGAGCAACGCCGGCUACGUGUAGCCGGACUGAGAGUACCUGAAGAAAAAGCAUCGGCUAACUCCGUGCCAGCAGCAGCGGUAAUACGGUGGAUGCGAGCGUUAUCCGGUUUUAUUGGGGUAAAAGGGUUGGUAGGCGGAAUGCCAAGUCAGCGGUAAAAUCGCGGGGCUCAACCCCGCGCUGCCGUGGAAACUGGCGUGCUGGAGUGGGCGAGAAGUAUGCGGAAUGCGUGGUGUAGCGGUGAAAUGCAUAGAUAUCACGAAGAACACCGAUUGCGAAGGCAGCAUACCGGCGCCCAACUGACGCUGAAGCACGAAAGCGUGGGUAUCGAACAGGAUUAGAUACCCGUGUAGUC